rnacentral:rRNA from 1 species
GGACUGACCCCUUCCGUGCCGGAGUUAACACAAUAAGUAAUCCGCUGGGGAGUACGACCGCAAGGUUGAAACUCAAAGAAAUUGACGGGGGCCCGCACAAGCAGUGGAGUAUGUGGUUUAAUUCGAAGCAACGCGAAGAACCUUACCAGGUCUUGACAUCGAGUGAAGAACAUAGAGAUAUGUUCGUCCUUCGGGACACAAAGACAGGUGGUGCAUGGUUGUCGUCAGCUCGUGUCGUGAGAUGUUGGGUUAAGUCCCGCAACGAGCGCAACCCUUACCAUUAGUUGCUACAUUCAGUUGAGCACUCUAAUGGGACUGCCGUUGACAAAACGGAGGAAGGUGGGGACGACGUCAAAUCAUCAUGCCCCUUAUGACCUGGGCUACACACGUACCACAAUGGCAAUAAACAAUGGGCAGCAACACAGCGAUGUGAAGCGAAUCUCCAAACAUUGCCUCAGUUCGGAUUGUAGGCUGCAACUCGCCUACAUGAAGUCGGAAUUGCUAGUAAUCGUGGAUCAGAAUGCCACGGUGAAUACGUUCCCGGGCCUUGUACACACCGCCCGUCACACCAUGAGAGUCGGUAACACCCGAAGCCAGUAGCCUAACCGUAAGGAGGGCGCUGUCGAAGGUGGGAUUGAUGAUUGGGGUGAAGUCGUAACAAGGUAGAGCUCUCAGUCAGUCAA